rnacentral:rRNA from 1 species
UGGGGAAUUUUGGACAAUGGGCGAAAGCCUGAUCCAGCAAUGCCGCGUGUGUGAAGAAGGCCUUCGGGUUGUAAAGCACUUUUGUCCGGAAAGAAAUCCUUGGCUCUAAUACAGUCGGGGGAUGACGGUACCGGAAGAAUAAGCACCGGCUAACUACGUGCCAGCAGCCGCGGUAAUACGUAGGGUGCAAGCGUUAAUCGGAAUUACUGGGCGUAAAGCGUGCGCAGGCGGUUUGCUAAGACCGAUGUGAAAUCCCCGGGCUCAACCUGGGAACUGCAUUGGUGACUGGCAGGCUAGAGUAUGGCAGAGGGGGGUAGAAUUCCGACGUGUAGCAGUGAAAUGCGUAGAGAUGUGGAGGAAUACCGAUGGCGAAGGCAGCCCCCUGGGCCAAUACUGACGCUCAUGCACGAAAGCGUGGGGAGCAAACAGGAUUAGAUACCCUGGUAGUCCACGCCCUAAACGAUGUCAACUAGUUGUUGGGGAUUCAUUUCCUUAGUAACGUAGCUAACGCGUGAAGUUGACCGCCUGGGGAGUACGGUCGCAAGAUUAAAACUCAAAUGAAUUGACGGGGUCAUAGCUGUUUCCU